rnacentral:rRNA from 1 species
ACUCAAAUGAAUAGACGGGGACCCGCACAACCGGUGGAGCGUGUGGUUCAAUUUGAGACGAAGCAAAAAACCUCACCAGGGCUUGACAUGCUAGCGUUCUAUGCUUAUGAAAGUAGGCAAAUCCGCAAGGAGGCUAGUGCAGGUGGUGCAUGGCUGUCGUCAGCUCGUGCCGUGAGGUGUUCCAUUAAGUUGGGAAACGAGCGCAACCCGCAUCCAAUGUUAAAUUAUUCAUUGGGAACAGUCCCAGUUUUACUGGGAAGGAAGGCGCGGAAGACGUCAAGUCAGCAUGCUCCUUAUGCCCUGGGCUACACACACCCUACAAUGGCGAAUAACAAAGAGUUGCAAGUCGGUAACGGCAAGCUAAUCUCAGAAAUUUCGCCUCAGUUCAGAUUGAGGGCUGCAACUCGCCCUCAUGAAGUCGGAAUCGGUAGUAAUCGCAAAUCAGCAGGUUGCGGUGAAUACGUUCUCGGGUCUUGUACACACCGCCCGU